GUCUAUGGCCAUACCACCCUGAACGCGCCCGAUCUCGUCUGAUCUCGGAAGCUGUAAAUAGUAUCAGUAUUUCCCCUUAACUGAUACUGCCUUCUACU
rnacentral:rRNA from 1 species